GAAGGAUGCUCCAGAGCCAACCACGAAGACAAAUGAGAAAAUGUCUUUUGUCUGCAGAAGGCACCAAUCCUACAUAAACCUGAGAUCUCUGACCAUCCCUUUCCAUACAAC
rnacentral:snoRNA from 1 species